rnacentral:rRNA from 1 species
AGUGAACGCUGGCGGUAGGCCUAAUACAUACAAGUCGAACGGCAGCACAGUAAGAUUUUGCUCCUACGGGUGGCGGGUGGCGGACGGGUGAGGCAUACAUCGGAAUCUACUUUUUCUGGGGGGAUAUCGGGGGGAAACUUACGCUAAUACCGAAUAUGAUCUACGGCUGAAAUCAGUGGUUCUUGGGACCUUUCGCGAUUGAAUGAGCCGAUGUCGGAUUAGCUAGUUGGCGUGGUAAGGGCCCACCAAGGCGACGAUCCGUAGCUGAUCUGAGAGGAUGAUCAGCCACACUGGAACUGAGACACGGUCCAGACUCCUACGGGAGGCAGCAGUGGGGAAUAUUCGACAAUGGGCGAAAGCCUGAUCGAGCAAUGCCGCGUGAGUGAAGAAGGCCUUCGGGUCGUAAAGCUCUGUUAUUAGGAAAGAAAAACAGUGGAUUAAACUCCCGCCGUCCUGACGGUACCUAAAGAGUAAGCCCCGGCUAACUUCGUG